rnacentral:lncRNA from 1 species
GGAGAUUCAGGAAAGAAAUUAUAUAGACUGUGGUACCUGAACAGCAAUUGGGCAAAAAUAAUAUCUCAGCAAGAAGAAUGGCUUACGUGGGAAAAUGAGGGAGAAGAAGAAGAAGGGAAUAAGCAACUACUCUUUCUGGGAACUCUUAUUUGUCUGGUCCAUGAAUACUGUGAGUAGCGUAUGGAUGGCCUGGGAGUGCAAGAAGAUUUGAGAUAAGAAGACCAAUCAAGAUGCUGUUGCAGGAAUGCAGGAAAGAGCUGAUAAGGGUCUAAACUAAGAUGGUAACUGUAUGACUAAAGGGAAGGUGUCAAGUAGGAGAGAUAAUUGAGUAGUCCUCUCUACAAUUUAAAUAUACCUAUUUUCCUAAACCAAUCCCUGUCCAACAUUUUUCAGUACUCUCACCAGUCCUGGUUUCCCUUUUCAAGAUGUAUUUCAGCUUGUGUAAGGCCUUCCUAUAAUAUGGUACUUAGAGCCAAAAAAAAUACCCCUGAUGAGGCAUAACCUAGGCAAAAUAUGGCACUCUGACACAUCUUACUCUGGAUACCAUGCUUCUCUUUUUUCCAAAAUAUGUUUUAUUGAUUUCAUUAAAUAUUU